UACGGGGGGGGGCAAGCGUUGUUCGGAAUUACUGGGCGUAAAGGGCUCGUAGGCGGCCAACUAAGUCAGACGUGAAAUCCCUCGGCUUAACCGGGGAACUGCGUCUGAUACUGGAUGGCUUGAGUUUGGGAGAGGGAUGCGGAAUUCCAGGUGUAGCGGUGAAAUGCGUAGAUAUCUGGAGGAACACCGGUGGCGAAGGCGGCAUCCUGGACCAACUCUGACGCUGAGUGACGAAAGCCAGGGGAGCAAACGGGG
rnacentral:rRNA from 1 species